UACGUAGGGGGCAAGCGUUGUCCGGAAUCAUUGGGCGUAAAGCGCGUGUAGGCGGUUCGGUAAGUCCGCUGUGAAAGUCCAGGGCUCAACCCUGGGAUGCCGGUGGAUACUGUCGGACUAGAGUACGGAAGAGGCGAGUGGAAUUCCCGGUGUAGCGGUGAAAUGCGCAGAUAUCGGGAGGAACACCAAUUGCGAAGGCAGCUCGCUGGGACGUUACUGACGCUGAGACGCGAAAGCGUGGGGAGCAAACAGG
rnacentral:rRNA from 1 species